rnacentral:tRNA from 1 species
GAAAAGUUAGUUAAUAAUAACAUAAAAUUGUCAAUUUUAAAUUACUAACUUAUUAGUACUUUUCU